rnacentral:snRNA from 1 species
GGAUGUGAGGAUGAUCUGGCUGCGACAUCUGUCACCGCAUUGAUCGCCAGAUUUAAUUUGGCUGAUCUGGCUGGCUAGGCGGGUGUCCCUCUCCUCCCUCACUGAUCCAUUUGUGUCCCUGUCCCUCUCAAAGCUGCAUGCUCAGUGGGAGGGACAACCUUCCCCCCAGGGGGGAGGGCCUGUCUUCGGUCAAGGGUAUUCAAUAGCUGCGCUCCCCUCCUAGAACCUCCAAACAAGCUCUCAAGAAUAAUUUAAAGUCACAAUUUCCACUUUUUACAUAACCAGUGUGACAGCU